rnacentral:lncRNA from 1 species
UAAGUGUAAUUAUUACAUUUUCUUCCAUUUUUUUCUUAAGAUGUUGCUCUUAAAAUGUUGGGAAUUCAGGCAUCUAUAAAGAACACCACUGUAUCUAUAUACUGAACAAUUAGAAGUAACACAGAAGACCCAGGUGACAGUCAACAGCAGUGAAUCCUUACUGGAGACCAAGCACAAAAUUCUAAGCAUCCGAUAUUUACUAGUUCAUUUAAAUUUUUCAAAAAAACUUGAUGAAGGAGGUUGUGACAUUGUCAAUUAAAUUUGAGGAAACUAAUCACACAGCUAGAAAUCACACCCAGGAGUAUGUUUCCACAGGGUUUAACUACUUAUCUAUUAAAUCCUUGUCUAUACAUUGGGAGCUCAUGGAGGUAUUGUCAAAUGGACAUUCCCGUACUUUCCCUAUCUUUAAGUCUGAGCAAAGCCUUCUAUUGCAUCUUAGGAGAGCAACUUGAAUCUACCUUUUCAGCAGGCAAACACACACACAGUAGAGGCUGAAAUAAGUAUUCUUUGGUUGUUUCUACCAAUCUCACCAAUCCAAUAAACUCACUUCUGUUCAGGAAGGAACCAGUGAAGCCAGAUAUGCUUCUGGAGGACAAUUUUCUCCACAAGGAAAUACGAGAAGUUUGGAAUGAAUUUCUCCUUGUUUAUGACAAAAACACUUUAGAACAUUAUUUGUAUUUAAUUAGUGCUUUUGACCUUGCUACGUCAUGUAUUACAUAUUUUAUAGACUUAUUUUAUAUAUAUAUAUUUUUGUCAAUUUUAGGGCUGCACCUGCAGCAUAUGGAGGUUCACAGGCUAGGGGUCUAAUCUGAGCUGUUGCUGCUGGCCUACGCCAGAGCCAUAGCAAUGCCAGAUGCAAGCCACAUCUGCAACCUACACCACAGCUCACAGCAACACCAGAUCCUUAACCCACUGAGCGAGACCAGGUAUCAAACCCGCAACCUCAUGGUUCCUAGUUGGAUUCAUUUCUUCUGUGCCACGAUGGGAGCUCCCAUAUUUUAUAGACUUAUAAAGGAAGAAGAGAGGCUGAUUUUACAUGAAAGUGAUGUUUAGUUCAUCAACUUAAAGUUUUACAUUGGCAAAAAUAUGACAUCAUAGGUGCAUAUAAAUGAACCAGCCCCAUGUUCACGGAAGUUAAAAGAAGAAAAAGUGGUGGGAGAAAUGAAUCACAACAUGACACACAGGAUGAAUAUCCUGAGCUAAAAAAAAGAUUCAAAAAGAAAAUGGCAAUUUCAAUAAAAAGAUCACAGUUCAUAUAAAUGUUUAUUUUUGAAUUGCACUGUUUUGUACACAUUUCUUUCAAAAUAUGGUUAUGAUUAUAAAUGUAUAAAAGCUAAAGGUCAAGAAGUUCAUACCACAUUUUAUUUUUGAAAAUAUAACAUCAUAAAACUAAUCAAGUAAAUGCUGAUGACAAAUGAUAUUUCUUUUUACUCAUUCAGAAGAACUAUGGGAAUAACUUAGGUAAUUUUAAUGUUAAUUUGAAAGUUUUCUAUGGUCAACUGUCCAUAUUUAAAAUUGUGUUAAUUAUUUAAUAUUUCCUCUUAAGAGGGAUAAUAUCAGUUAUUUCUCAGUGACUCUCAUUUUGCCAUUAUGUAAGAGACACAAAUUAUUUAAGGUAAAAUUUUCAUGAUUGCUUAAGUUUAACAAAAUUAUUUUAUUAAAUAUAAGUAUAUACAAUUAUAAGUAUUAAGUAUCAUAAUUCUUUCAUAAUAUAUAUUAAAAAAUUAUUCAGAUGAUUUCUUAUUAUUUGUUGUGUUCAUUUUAUAAAAAUUAAAAUUUUAUUUUGUUUUUAUGUUGAAAACUGUUUAAACACAAUUGGUUCCCUGGGGCUACUAUACCAAUGUACCUCAAACUGGGUGAUGCACAGCUCUGUAAACUGGAAGUCUGUGAUUAAGAUGUCUGGUGAUGUGCUUCUUUCUAUGUUCUGCUAGCUUCUGGUGAUUUGCAGGCCAUCUUUGGCAAGUCUUGCCUUGGCUGAUCUCUGUAUUCAUCUUCAUUUAGAGUUCUCACAGUGUGAGUAUCUGCAAUUAAACAUCCCCUUCAGACUGGAUUUAGGAACCCACUCUACUCCAGUAUGUCCUCAUCUUAAGUGAUUAUAUCCUCAACAACCCUAUUUUCAAAUAAGGUCACAUCCAGAGCCACUGUGAUUAGGACCUCAUUAUGGGCUAAGUCAUAUCCCUCCACAAAUCCACAUGUUGAAGCUAUAAUACUCAGGACCUCUGAAUUUGACUUUAUUUGGAGACAAGGACUUUAAGGUCAUAAGUAUAUUGAAAUGAGUUUAUUAGGGUAAGGCUGAAUCCAAUAUGAUGUGUGUUCUUUUAGAAAAGGAGAUUAGAACACAGAUAUAUACAGAGGGGAGACCAUGUGGAGACACAGGGAAAAGAAGGCCUUCUACAAGCCAAGGAGAAUGGCCUCAGAUGAAACCACUUCUGGAAAAUACCUUGAUUUCUUACUUCUAGCUUCCAGAAUUGUGAGGAAAUAUAUUUCUUUCUUUAAGCGACCCAGUCUGUGGUACUUGCUAUGGCAGCCCCAGUGAACUAAUACAGACUUCAGUAAAUGAAUUUUUGGAGAAUAAAAUUCAACUUAUAAUAGAGGAUUAACUUUUCUCGGUUUUUUCUUUUCCUUUUUUACUUCAAUAUUGUUACUAUAUGUAGUCAAUGGUUUGACUUGUAUUUAAUUAUGGUUAAUACCAAUUUCAUGUGUAAAAUAUUCCCUAUGGCAUUUUAAUUAAGAGGAAUUUUUUUAGUGGUGUUAUAGUUGUGUUUAAAAAUGAAAAGAUAUUUAAUUUAGAGAAAAAAUACUUUAUUGAAAAUUAUUCCAGAAGGCAAAAAUACAAUUAAUAAUUAGAAUUUAGAAGUAUGUUUAAAUUCAAUAUAAAGAACUUUCAAGAAUUAAAGUCAUAGCAGUAUUGCCUGUCACUUCUAGAAGUAAACUUGAAAUGUUUACAGAUAUUGAGUACUUAAUAACAAAAGAUUUCGAAGAAUGCAAUUGAGAUUUUUCAUAAAAUUAAAUUGCCUCCAUUUACUCUCAAUGCAAAGAAUUUAAACUUUUGUCUUAAAUGUACAAAUUUCGUGUUUUAAAUUUAUGUUUGAUUUUCCAAUGGAACAUUGAAUUGUAUAUUUGACUUCCCAUUCAUAGGAAAUGAAAUUUAAAUCAACUUUUACAAAAAUUAUAAUAUUUUAAUAACAAUAAUAGACUUACUAAUUUUAUAACCUAUAAUAUUCACAUUUAUUUUUUGGUUUUACUCCAAUAUUUAAAAUCAAUGUAUCUUUCAAAUGCCACAUUCAUCUAUUCUAUGAUAGUUCACAGAGCACAGGUUCUCAAAUUUGGUUUCAUAAUAGGAUUACUUGGGGCGAUUAUAAUAAAUUGGUGGUUCUUUCUUAUCUCCAAGGACUCUAAUUAAUUAAUCUGGUGAAGCUCAAUAUAGG